CAUUCUAAAACUAACUGUCGUCAGCAGAACAGCUCGGAGACGGGACAAAAAUAUUUAUAUUUUUUAAAAAAGAAUAUCCGAAAAAAGAUCGAAGCCGCUUGGAAGUAAAAGUCAAAUCAUCAAUAAACAUAUAUAUUUUUCUACCGGACAGCAUAACAAAUAAUAAAUUAGUGGACUGGAUUGUAAACCAGGCAAAAACCUAACCUCUCUUACAGUAAUCACAGUAAUCAAAUAGAGAUGAAUCAUAGGAAGGGCUGAAAAUCAUCAAUCAAAGCAAGCUUGAAAUAAAUGAAAGAUAUAUGUCAAUGUGCUAGUUUCUAAAAAUCUCCAAAAAUCAUUCACAGCUGGACUUCAAACCGAUAACAUCUAACCAGGAAACAUUUUUGUUUAUCUUAAAGAAACCCAUUGAUAGUAAUAAGAUGCUGCGCCUUCCAGCUGUUUGUGUUCAGCAGCUGCGCUGUAACCAACUUAUUACCGAUCCCAUGCCACAGAGCUCUUUGCCCGUGUCGCCCAAGGACAUACGCUCUCGUGGGCCAGUUGUCGAGACGUAUGAGGGCAAGCAAAAAAACCCAGACGAUGCCGUGCUGCCGAUGCCUCCUCACAAACUCCCCCUGGACCUAUUGGGGGAUUUGGCUAGGCUUGGGCAAAGCAUGCUGAAUCUGAAGGAGAUAAUACAGCAACAGAAGUUCGAUUUCAAAGAGGCACUGAUGAUGGGAAAGGAUAACUUCAAAGAAGAGUUUCAGAAGAAAACGGAGAGUGGGAUUUUCAAGAUGCAGAAUGGCAUUAAGAAUGCCAUUGAUUUAUUGAAGCGGGGUUUCUAAUCAAUUUUUUUGUUAAUGUUAAUAUUCUAAAAUGUUUUCCAUAAAUUUCCUAUUAUAUUUGAACAGUUAACAGAAAGU